rnacentral:rRNA from 1 species
AACGAACGCUGGCGGCAGGCUUAACACAUGCAAGUCGAACGCCCCGCAAGGGGAGUGGCAGACGGGUGAGUAACGCGUGGGAAUCUACCCAGUUCCACGGAACAACAGUUGGAAACGACUGCUAAUACCGUAUACGCCCUAAGGGGGAAAGAUUUAUCGGAAUUGGAUGAGCCCGCGUUGGAUUAGCUAGUUGGUGGGGUAAUGGCCUACCAAGGCGACGAUCCAUAGCUGGUCUGAGAGGAUGAUCAGCCACACUGGGACUGAGACACGGCCCAGACUCCUACGGGAGGCAGCAGUGGGGAAUAUUGGACAAUGGGCGCAAGCCUGAUCCAGCCAUGCCGCGUGAGUGAUGAAGGCCUUAGGGUUGUAAAGCUCUUUCAGUAGGGAAGAUAAUGACGGUACCUACAGAAGAAGCCCCGGCUAACUUCGUGCCAGCCGCCGCAGUAAUAC